rnacentral:rRNA from 1 species
CGUAAAUUGAUGAAGUCAGACCUGCCCGGUGAUAAUUUAACGGCUGCAGUUAUGUACUAAGGUAGCGUGAUAGGUUGCCCUUUAAUUGGGGGCUGGUACGAAUGGUUUGACGGUGGAAUAGCUAUGUUUAAAACAUUAAAAGAAGUUGAUUUUUAAGUGAAAAAGCUUAAAUUUUUGUAAAAGAAGAGAAGACCCUGUCGAGCUUGAUUAUUAAUAUGUGUUGGUCUUAGGAGUUAUGUUUGUUGAAAAGUUUUGAUGGGGAAGACAAAAAACAAAACGUUUUUAUUUUAAUAUUAGGAUCCAGUUUGAUUGAAAUUAGUAAAAGCUACCGUAGGGAUAACAGGGUAAUAUUUUUUUGAGAGAUCAAAUUGAAGAAAAAGGUUACUACCUCGAUGUUGGAUUAGAGUUUCUUUAUGCUUGCAGGCGGUAUAAAAUGAAAGACUGUUCGUCUUUUAAAACUUUACGUGAUCUGAGUUCAGACCGGA